CAGCCGACCUGAGAGCGUGCCACGCUCACUUUCCUCCCUCUUCCACGGUCUCUUGCGCGUCGUUUGCCAGGCACCAGCCUGCACUCGUUCCCGAGCCGGUUGUUGCCACAUUCAUGAUCCUAAUCCUCAUCGAUGUGCUGAUAGUCGCGCCGCCCAUCAUCUAAAGUGCAUACCAUUACUCCUGCACAAAGUCUACCGUCGUCAAAGAUGUCCCAGUCGAUUUCGGGAUGAGUGGUGAGGCUGAUCGUUUAUCUGCCUCUUGAUAGCACAUAUUCCCAUGCUUCUCUGUUGCUAUGGCGGUGAUCGCAGCCGUUGUGGCGUUCUGUGUUCCAGCGCUGUUCGACUUCAUGACAAUUGCGACAUCCAUUGCUCUCCUGUAAGCUUUGCAGUGGUACAGCGUCCGAAUAUCAAACGGUGUUGAGAUUCGCCUCUAAUGAAAUAUCUUUUACGGUGGCAUUCUCACCUUCACCGCCACUGCCGUUGCACUGAUCAUCCGUAGCAUUUUUUUUCUUUCGAUCGGCCCCCGAUGACGAGGAUGGGCACCUCAGUGCGUGGUGUCCAGGGUCCGUUACACCCCGCGUUGUGUGUGAGGAAGGCAAGCACCCCCUGUCCCCUGCCAAUGCCGAACAACCUCUGGUGGUGGCAGGGCCAAGCAGCUGUGACGUAGGGGUGGACAGGGCGAUGUGUCGCUGCUGAUGUCGGCGGUCAGGUCGUGGAUGGCGUUGCGCCGGAGCGGCCUGCGGCAGUGAACGCACUUGCGCCAUCCAUCUGGUGGGCAUGGUGUCGCCGCAGCUGGAGCGCAUCCCCGCCCCGCGCCUCACACUGCCUGCUGGCGGGGGGAGCCUGAGCUACCCCGAGGGACGCACGAGGUGGGGACCGGCGCAAUGUGAGCCGCUGUGAGGCGGCCUCCGCUUCGCAGGCCGGUAGUGUUUUGAGGCAGAGGCCAUGCUCGGAUGACGGAGUCGGCGCAUUGCUGUAGAGCGUGUGCACGACUGCUUUGCGCCACGCGAUGGGGGCCUGCGACAUGCCGGGUAGAGUGUUGUCGAGCUCACGUGUGGGAGAGAAUGAACGCGUUGAGCAAAAGAGGAAGCCUCUGAAUAGGUGUUGAAUGCCAUGACAAAAACAGGGUCGGUAAUGUCCCCCCUUUUGGUCGUCUCCUCGGUUGCGUAAUUUCGUCCGAACCUACGCAUCCACACACACAUACAUAGAGGGCGCUUUCGAAUCACAUGAAUACCACUUAGCCGAAUGAAAUCACUGCGUAGUGUUUCUCUACUCUCUAGUCCCAUGUGGGAUAAUAUCGUUUUUCCCUAUCCUUUCCGCUUGUUUACCGAUGCGUUAAGCGCGCAUACUGUGGGGUACUAUCCUUUCUUC
rnacentral:misc_RNA from 1 species